ensembl:lncRNA
GACGUCCACGACCGGGCACACAACCAGUCCGUCGAGGUUAAAAAAAAAAGAAAAAUGACAGACUCUCUACACAUCCGAGUGGCCCACUUUCGGAGCGGGAUGGCCAGUGAAUGACACAUUUAAUAAGAUCAUUAUUUUACAGGUUAAAGAUUGGGUCGUCCACGGACAUCCUGACCAGGUUUCUUAUAUUAUCACUUGAGUGAGUCUCGCCUUAAACCCCCCCCCCCGGGUGGAACCCUUCGUGGACCCGAAUUGGCCUCCCCUCAACCCCCAGCCUGUCCCCUCGGCCCCGCCCGGUCCGCCGGCCACGUCUUCCUCUCUCUACCUUUGUGAAAUCAGAGCCUUCUAAGAAACCUGUCCUCCCGGCAGACCCAAACUCCCCUCUCAUAGAUCUUCUCUCUGACAGGCCCGGCUAAAACGGAGGAGGCAGAGCCGCCGGCCAGAUCAGUUGCCGGGCCACAGUCUGAUAAGGGUUUCUCCCCUGUCACAGGGAGAUUGCGCAAUAAGCUCGAGGUGAUGCCAGAUUCAACCUCCCAGGCUUUCCCACUUAGACAGGGAACCGGUGGCCAGACCCAAUACUGGCCGUUUUCAGCAGCUGACAUUUACAAUUGAAAACAACACAACCCUUCUUUCUCCAAAGAUCCGGUGGCACUCACUGACCUAAUAGAAUCUGUUUUACUUACCCACCAGCCUACUUGGGAUGACUGCCAACAGCUCUUACAGGCCCUACAGAUUGUGCAGAGAGACGUCUAGAGACCUUUGGCCGCUGCUUACCAGGACAAGCUUGAACAUCCGGUGGUGCCACACCCGUUCCAGAUUAGAGACACCGUGUGGGUACACAGACACCAGACCAAGAAUCUCGAGCCACGGUGAAAAGGACCCUACACCGUCCUCCUGACUACCCCGACCGCCCUAAAGGUAGACGGAGUCUCGGCUUAGAUCCACGCACCACACGUCAAGACAGUCUGGUCUGAGAAAUUGACUAAUCACAACACUACACCCCAGACAUGGAGAGUUCAGCGCAUUCCAAACCCCUUAAAGUUAAAACUCCUACGUGGCUCCUCCUAGCCCUUUUGUGGCCUAGAGUCAGUGGGGAAAUAAGCCCCCACCAGACA